UCAAUAUAAAUAUCCAGGCUUCUUGUUUAAACUCUCACCAAAAAAAUGUAGAAUAACCUUUUAUUAAUCUGAGUCAUCUGGCUGGCAUUUAUAUGAUGCAACACAAAUGCUGAAAAAAGGAUUAUUACUUAUUCUCAAUGGUGAUAAAGCCUGUCAUCAACCUUCUUCAUCAAUAUCAUGGAUUCGGAAUGUAAAAUAUCUCAUGAAAAAUUGGCGACCAAGACCUAAGGCGACGAUUCUUGCGAUUAAAGCUGACGGAUGGACCGGUAAUGAAAUAUUUGAUUUAAAAGGAGCGGAGGUAAUGAAAUAUCUAAUGUAACGAGCCCCGACUUAUUGACCAAAGUCAGUUAAGGAACGUAUCUCGUUAGAUUGUCAGUUUCCAAGGUUGUAACAAACCAUUGGCUUGCAAUCGAUAAAAUGCAACACCAAACAGUAGAAAGGACCCAACUCCAAUCUCUGAAUAUCAUUUUGAUAUUAUAUUUCAUUGCAGAUUCGUUUUAUGGAAAUGUAGAAUUUGCUGAAUAUCAAAUUCGAUCAUUUUCAAAAUUUUAUAAAAAAUAAUGUCCAU
rnacentral:lncRNA from 1 species